UACGUAGGGUGCGAGCGUUGUCCGGAAUUAUUGGGCGUAAAGGGCUCGUAGGCGGUGUGUCACGUCGGCCGUGAAAACCUGGGGCUUAACUCUGGGCGUGCGGUCGAUACGGGCAUCACUAGAGUUCGGCAGGGGAGACUGGAAUUCCUGGUGUAGCGGUGAAAUGCGCAGAUAUCGGGAGGAACACCUAUGGCGAAGGCAGCUCGCUGGGACGUUACUGACGCUGAGACGCGAAAGCAUGGGGAGCGAACAGG
rnacentral:rRNA from 1 species